rnacentral:rRNA from 1 species
AGAGUUUGAUCAUGGCUCAGAUUGAACGCUGGCGGCAUGCCUAACACAUGCAAGUCGAACGGUAACGCGGAGAGCUUGCUCUCUGGCGACGAGUGGCGGACGGGUGAGUAAUACUUAGGAAUCUGCCCAGUAGUGGGGGACAACUCGGGGAAACUCGAGCUAAUACCGCAUACGCCCUACGGGGGAAAGCGGGGGAUCUUCGGACCUCGCGCUAUUGGAUGAGCCUAAGUCGGAUUAGCUAGUUGGUGGGGUAAAGGCCUACCAAGGCGACGAUCCGUAGCUGGUCUGAGAGGACGAUCAGCCACACUGGGACUGAGACACGGCCCAGACUCCUACGGGAGGCAGCAGUGGGGAAUAUUGGACAAUGGGGGCAACCCUGAUCCAGCAAUGCCGCGUGUGUGAAGAAGGCCUGCGGGUUGUAAAGCACUUUCAGUAGAGAAGAAAAGCUUACGGUUAAUACCCGUGAGUCUUGACGUAACCUACAGAAGAAGCUCCGGCUAACUCCGUGCCAGCAGCCGCGGUAAUACGGAGGGAGCGAGCGUUAAUCGGAAUUACUGGGCGUAAGCGCGCGUAGGCGGCUUUGUAAGUCGGAUGUGAAAAGCCCUGGGCUCA